rnacentral:rRNA from 1 species
GACGAACGCUGGCGGCGUGCUUAACACAUGCAAGUCGAACGGAAAGGCCCUGCUUUUGUGGGGUGCUCGAGUGGCGAACGGGUGAGUAACACGUGAGUAACCUGCCCUUGACUUUGGGAUAACUUCAGGAAACUGGGGCUAAUACCGGGUAGGAGCUCCUGCUGCAUGGUGAGGGUUGGAAAGUUUCGGCGGUUGGGGAUGGACUCGCGGCUUAUCAGCUUGUUGGUGGGGUAGUGGCUUACCAAGGCUUUGACGGGUAGCCGGCCUGAGAGGGUGACCGGCCACAUUGGGACUGAGAUACGGCCCAGACUCCUAUGGGAGGCAGCAGUGGGGAAUAUUGCACAAUGGGCGGAAGCCUGAUGCAGCAACGCCGCGUGCGGGAUGACGGCCUUCGGGUUGUAAACCGCUUUCGCCUGUGACGAAGCGUGAGUGACGGUAAUGGGUAAAGAAGCACCGGCUAACUACGUG